GACGAACGCUGGCGGCGUGCCUAAUACAUGCAAGUUGAGCGCUGAAGGUUGGUACUUGUCCCGACUGGAUGAGCAGCGAACGGGUGAGUAACGCGUGGGGAAUCUGCCUUUGAGCGGGGGACAACAUUUGGAAACGAAUGCUAAUACCGCAUAAAAACUUUAAACACAAGUUUUAAGUUUGAAAGAUGCAAUUGCAUCACUCAAAGAUGAUCCCGCGUUGUAUUAGCUAGUUGGUGAGGUAAAGGCUCACCAAGGCGAUGAUACAUAGCCGACCUGAGAGGGUGAUCGGCCACAUUGGGACUGAGACAAGGCCCAAACUCCUACGGGAGGCAGCAGUAGGGAAUCUUCGGCAAUGGACGAAAGUCUGACCGAGCAACGCCGCGUGAGUGAAGAAGGGUUUCGGAUCGUAAAACUCUGUUGGUAGAGAAGAACGUUGGUGAGAGUGGAAAGCUCAUCAAGUGACGGUAACUACCCAGAAAGGGACGGCUAACUACGUG
rnacentral:rRNA from 1 species